rnacentral:rRNA from 1 species
GACGGAGGGGGCAAGCGUUGUUCGGAAUUAUUGGGCGUAAAGGGCUCGUAGGCGGACCGGUGUGUCUGGCGUGAAAUCUCCACUGCUUAACAGGGAGGGGCCGCUGGAAACUGCCGAUCUUGAGUAUGGUAGAGGACCAUGGAAUUUCGGGUGUAGCGGUGGAAUGCGUAGAUAUCCGAAAGAACACCGGUGGCGAAGGCGGUGGUCUGGACCAAAACUGACACUGAGGCGCGAAAGCCAGGGGAGCAAACGGG